GACGAACGCUGGCGGCGUGCUUAACACAUGCAAGUCGAACGAUGAAGCCUAGCUUGCUAGGUGGAUUCGUGGCGAACGGGUGAGUAAUACGUGAGUGACCUACCUUUGACUCUGGGAUAAGCCUGGGAAACUGGGUCUAAUACCGGAUACGACCACUCUCCGCAUGGGGUGUUGGUGGAAAGCGUUAUGGAGUGGUUUUAGAUGGGCUCACGGCCUAUCAGCUUGUUGGUGAGGUAAUGGCUUACCAAGGCGACGACGGGUAGCCGGCCUGAGAGGGUGACCGGCCACACUGGGACUGAGACACGGCCCAGACUCCUACGGGAGGCAGCAGUGGGGAAUAUUGCACAAUGGGCGCAAGCCUGAUGCAGCGACGCCGCGUGAGGGAUGACGGCCUUCGGGUUGUAAACCUCUGUUAGCAUCGAAGAAGCGAAAGUGACGGUAGGUGCAGAGAAAGCGCCGGCUAACUACGUG
rnacentral:rRNA from 1 species